rnacentral:tRNA from 1 species
GUUGGGAUAGCUCAGUUGGUAGAGCAGAGGACUGAAAAUCC